rnacentral:lncRNA from 1 species
GAGGUGAUAGAGAAAGGAGCUGGCUGGGCACUUGGAAAACUAAACCACUGUUCCUGGGAUGACAAAUACAUGAAAUGCUGGCCACGUAUAAAACGGGAGGGGAAAAGUACAUCUCGCUGCUUUAAGAAUAUGUCAUAGGAACCAAGAUUCCUUUUCCAGCCUAUGGCCCUUUGCUGCAUGUUCCUUCCGCAGUGCAUCAGUGACAUCUGCUAACAGUGGGGUCCCCAUCUGUUCCCAAGUACAGGGCAUCCAGGACAGCACAGAGCCACAGCAAGAAGAGGGAGUAGUCCAGCGCUGGUGAGGUCUAAGAGGGCCCAGGGUGGCAGCAGCUGGGCACAGCUGGGCCCACAGGAACCUUGCCAUGACUUCAGCAGGAUCGCCAGAAAGAAGCCUGGUGUAACUUGCCAAGUGAAAGAGAUGGAGUGGAAAGAGCCUUGUAGACAAUGGAGAGCCACC